AACGCACCUUGCGCCCCUUGGCUAUUCCGAGGGGCAUGCCUGUUUGAGUAUCAUGAACACCUCAACUCUUGUGGUUCGCCAUAAAGAGCUUGGACUUGGGGGCCUGCUGGCGUACAGCCAGCUCCUCUCGAAUGAAUUAGCCUGCCAGUGUUUGGUGGCAUCACAGGUGUGAUAACUAUCUACGCUUGUGGUUGCCUGCCAGGUAACCUUUGGUGACAGAGGUUCGCUGGAGCUUAUAAACGUCUUUCCUUGGUGAAGACAGCUUUUGAACGUUCGAUCUCAAAUCAGGUAGGACUACCCGCUGAACUUAA
rnacentral:misc_RNA from 1 species